UACGGAGGGUGCGAGCGUUGUCCGGAAUCACUGGGCGUAAAGGGCUCGUAGGCGGCCAACUAAGUCAGACGUGAAAUCCCUCGGCUUAACCGAGGAACUGCCGUCCAAACUGCUUUGCUUGAGACCGGGAGAGGUGAGUGGAAUUCCCAGUGUAGCGGUGAAAUGCGUAGAUAUUGGGAGGAACACCAGUGGCGAAGGCGGCUCACUGGACCGGUACUGGACGCUGAUGCGCGAAAGCGUGGGGAGCAAACGGG
rnacentral:rRNA from 1 species